rnacentral:rRNA from 1 species
UGAACGCUGGCGGCAGGCUUAACACAUGCAAGUCGAGCGGUAACAGGAAUUAGCUUGCUAAUUUGCUGACGAGCGGCGGACGGGUGAGUAACGCGUAGGAAUCUGCCUGGUAGUGGGGGACAACAUGUGGAAACGCAUGCUAAUACCGCAUACGCCCUACGGGGGAAAGGAGGGGAUCUUCGGACCUUUCGCUAUCAGAUGAGCCUGCGUGAGAUUAGCUAGUUGGUGGGGUAAAGGCUCACCAAGGCGACGAUCUCUAGCUGGUCUGAGAGGAUGAUCAGCCACACUGGGACUGAGACACGGCCCAGACUCCUACGGGAGGCAGCAGUGGGGAAUAUUGGACAAUGGGCGCAAGCCUGAUCCAGCCAUGCCGCGUGUGUGAAGAAGGCCUUCGGGUUGUAAAGCACUUUCAGCGAGGAGGAAAGGUUGUCAGUUAAUACCUGGCAGCUGUGACGUUACUCGCAGAAGAAGCACCGGCUAACUCCGUGC